rnacentral:rRNA from 1 species
CCCUUAGAUGUUCUGGGCCGCACGCGCGCUACACUGAUGCAUUCAACGAGUCUAAAACCUGCUCUGAUAGGGGUGGGUAAUCUUUUGAAUGUGCAUCGUGAUUGGGAUAGAUGAUUGCAAUUUUUCAUCUUCAACGAGGAAUGUCUAGUAAACGCAAGUCAUCAGCUUGCAUUGAUUACGUCCCUGCCCUUUGUACACACCGCCCGUCGCUCCUACCGAUUGAAUGAUCCGAUGAAUAUCAUGGAUUGAGGAUGCAAGUAGGUUAGCCUAUCUUCAUCUUCGAGAAGUGAAGUAAAUCUUAUCAUUUAGAGGAAGGAGAAGUCGUAACA